UGGGGAAUUUUGGACAAUGGACGCAAGUCUGAUCCAGCCAUGCCGCGUGCGGGAAGAAGGCCUUCGGGUUGUAAACCGCUUUUGUCAGGGAAGAAACGAGUUUCUCUAAUACAGAGACUUAAUGACGGUACCUGAAGAAUAAGCACCGGCUAACUACGUGCCAGCAGCCGCGGUAAUACGUAGGGUGCAAGCGUUAAUCGGAAUUACUGGGCGUAAAGCGUGCGCAGGCGGUUAUGCAAGACAGAGGUGAAAUCCCCGGGCUCAACCUGGGAACUGCCUUUGAAACUGCAUAGCUUGAGUGCGGUAGAGGGAAGUGGAAUUCCGUGUGUAGCGGUGAAAUGCGUAGAUAUGCGGAGGAACACCAGUGGCGAAGGCGACCCCCUGGGCUGGGACUGACGCUGAUGCACGAAAGCGUGGGGAGCGAACA
rnacentral:rRNA from 1 species